rnacentral:rRNA from 1 species
UACGUAGGGUGCGAGCGUUGUCCGGAAUUAUUGGGCGUAAAGAGCUCGUAGGCGGUCUGUCGCGUCGGUCGUGAAAACUUGGGGCUUAACCCUGAGCUUGCGGUCGAUACGGGCAUGACUGGAGUUCGGCAGGGGAGACUGGAAUUCCUGGUGUAGCGGUGAAAUGCGCAGAUAUCAGGAGGAACACCGAUGGCGAAGGCAGGUCACUGGGCCGCAACUGACGCUGAGGAGCGAAAGCGUGGGGAGCGAACAGG